rnacentral:rRNA from 1 species
UACGUAGGGUGCAAGCGUUAUCCGGAAUUAUUGGGCGUAAAGAGCUCGUAGGCGGUUUGUCGCGUCUGCUGUGAAAACUGGGGGCUCAACCCCCAGCCUGCAGUGGGUACGGGCAGACUAGAGUGCGGUAAGGGAGAUUGGAAUUCCUGGUGUAGCGGUGGAAUGCGCAGAUAUCAGGAGGAACACCGGUGGCGAAGGCAGGUCUCUGGGCCACUACUGACGCUGAGAAGCGAAAGCAUGGGGAGCGAACAGG